GUUCUGCAGAGCUGGGCGCUGGAGACAGCCCCGCACCCCGUGCUUGCUCAGACAAGCCGGCCACUGGAGCCUACGGAGAGCGGGUGACGCAGGCGAUCUGGCCUCAUCCUCCAGCCACACUGGCCCCCUGUCCUUUCCUGAAACACGCCACGCCGGAACGGGAGCUCGCCGGAGGCUUCACGCUGGGCUUGAGAUCCGAACCUCAGAUGAAGAACUGAGCUGAGAUCAAGAGUUGGACGCUCAACCGAGUCACCCAGGCACCCCACGUCAUUUUUAAUAAGGAGAAGGGCCCUUCAGGUUUAGUGCCUCUAAAUGCAACAGGCUCUGCAUCUAUUUACUCAAGACUCCACAAAGCAUAUUUGCUACACGGGUAUUUAUUUAAGGACUUUCUAUAUUCAGUCACCACUGAAAUCACUGC